GACGGAGGAUGCAAGUGUUAUCCGGAAUCACUGGGCGUAAAGCGUCUGUAGGUGGUCAAAUAAGUCAACUGUUAAAUCUUGAGGCUCAACCUCAAAAUCGCAGUCGAAACUAUUAGACUAGAGUAUAGUAGGGGUAAAGGGAAUUUCCAGCGGAGCGGUGAAAUGCGUAGAGAUUGGAAAGAACACCGAUGGCGAAGGCACUUUACUGGGCUAUUACUAACACUCAGAGACGAAAGCUAGGGUAGCAAAUGGG
rnacentral:rRNA from 1 species